rnacentral:lncRNA from 1 species
GGGAAGCGGUGUGAAGCGACACAUUUUUUGUUUUACCUAUUUUACAUAAAAAAAAACAAACCUAUUUUGCAUCUAUACGGCUGUACCAUUCAUCCCUUUUCCAUUCUCGUUCUCCUCCCGUUCCUUUUUCUCUGUUUAGAUCCUGCAAGGGACGAGUACGGGGUGAGAAGGGGGAUUUGCGGCAGAGUGUGGUGGUUGCAGGCUCUCAGCUGCGGCAGGUCCUCCAGCUCGAGUAGUGCCUGCUGCUCGCCGCCACCGCCGACUUGAUGGCCGUGGAGCUCGGCCCCCUUAACCUGAGAGGUGGCUCUCCUCCAUGUAAUCUCUCUUCCUAGAGGCUUGUGCUGCUAGGCUCCAGCAAUUGCGCGGAUUUUGGAUGCUUUAUGAGAAAUCGACUGGCAGUCUCCUGUUAUCCCCUUCCUGUAGCUUGUGGAGAUUUUUCUGGUUGAAGCACAUUACAUAGGUUGAAGCUGACAAUAGUAUUUUUUUUUCAGUUGGCAUCCUGCCCAACUUUGAUUAUCUCUUGAACACAUCCGUAUUAAUUAUAUGAAGUUCCAUAUAGCAAAACGUGCUCAAUGUAUUUCAUUGGUCUCUUACUCUCUUUACAUUUGCAGACAGUCCACAUGUGGAGGCAAGUUGAGGGCUUCCUAGUUGCUACUACUGUCAGCUUCAACCUAUGUAAUGUGCUACAACUUUGCAUCAUUCCUACUUCAUGCACACCGGCUGAUUCUUCAUAGGUAUGCUUCCCCCUCUAGUAGUUUCAUAAAAGUUGUAUUCUUUCUAUUUGUUGUUACCAUAUCUUAGCAAGCUAUAUUAAUGAUAUAUGUAUUUUAAGACAAAGGAAGAAGGCUUGCAUGUAUUAAAUGAAUUUGGUUCAUAUGUGUUAGUUGAUAUAAAAUAGAUUUUUCGCAUCGUUUGAUAUUUUUGAAAUAAAUAUUUUUAAAUUUGAUAAUAUUUGAAAUGAUAACAUAAUGAGUUUUUAGAUGUUUGUAUUCAAUUGGAUUUAUCAUUUGUGUGCAUGUAUGGUGUGCGUGCACGUAUACACGCGUCUAUGUUGUACACUUGUACUAUUUCAUGUUUCUCGUAUAAGUUUUGUUUGAAUGAGGAAGUAAACUUGUAUGCGCACACACACCCAUUUAUCUAUGUUGUACUGCUGACCCACUUGAUAUUUCUAGAAAAAAAAUCGUUUGUGUGCGCUCAUUUGAUUUUGCCGGUGGCAUGCAGUACGGCUUUGCUCUUAUACACAUCCUUGCCGAGUUGCUUGGCUUUCUCAAUCCUUGAUCCAACUAUAGCAAAAAAAAACUACUUCAGCUCCCCUUCUCGAUUUUUUUCAUCCAAGUGUUCUUCACUUGUGGCGGUACUAAACCCUAAUCACAACUUCGCGCAUGUAUUUGCUCCUUAGGUUUUACUAAGGGCGUUGCAACAUGGUGGGUACUCUUGAAGAGAGAUAUACACCAGGGAGUAAUUUAAAAAAAAAUAUAGAUAGUUUGGGUUCUUGGCCUAUGGAGCUCUGGAGUAUGAGAUAGAUUGAUGGAGAUUCUAUAGAAUCUGUAAGUCUUUUUAAAUGCAUAGAAUUAGUAUAAGCCUUUUUAAAUGCAAUUUUGGCUGACUACAGUCUAUGCGGUUGUUCCAGGCUAUUUGCUCUGUAAAAUAAAUAAAUGGAAAACUAACUUAUAUCAAGAUCAUAUUUACAAUACGGAUUAUGGUUUUAUUCAUUUAACUUGUAUUUUGCCUGUAGUUUUCUAGGUAUUAGAUAUUUAUUAUUUUCUCCCUUCAUAAAAGAUUUCUUUUGAUAUUCUACAGUAUUACGAAAUACACAUCUGUAACUAACAAAUUAUGGUUUGUAAUCAUAUGGUUAUAUGUAUUAUCGUUAUUUACCUCUAUUACAUGUAUUUUUCUCAAUUAUACCUUUUCUUUUCACUUGGUGCACUACAUGCUCCUGAUCACACCUAAUAAAUUUUCAUUUGGAAAACUACGAACAUGACAUGCAUGAUCACACCUAAUGUAUGUUUGUUUUAUUUGUUGUUAGCUUAUAUUGGAAAAUUAAAUACUUUUAAGACAAUUCAAGAAGGUCUAUAUUAUUUGAAGUUCUCUACUGGCUCUGUUGAACUGAAGAGGACACACGUUAGGUGAAUGUCUCAAUGUAUUCAAAAUUUACAACAUGACAUGCAUGGUUCUAAUAGUGCUGACCAACACUUGUUAUCUAAUAGGUGUCCUUAUUGGUAGAUGUUAAGUAUGCUUUCUCUACCUCAGUAAAUGCAAUAGUCCUUAGAUUCACUGAAUAAGCUACUAAUCAAUAUAUAUAUUUUGGAUAUGAUUCAUUAGUUCAUAAAUAUUUAAGGAUAGAGUCCCAUACUUGUCACGAAGUUCCCAAGUUUCCGAUAUUCUAAAUUUGUAUAUGUUCUUGUGGGGCUGGUUGAGUUGAGGUAACAAUGAUCAAUCUAUUAGAUAUUAUUAGUAAAUAAAAGAAGAGCUUGUAAUGUUAUUGGACUUACCAUUGAACUUCUGCACUAUUGUGGAGGUUACAAUAAGGACAGUUUGGUUGUUGCUUACAUCCUAAUUUCCCCAUAAUGUCAAUAUGAUUUUAUUACCCCUAAAGAGUAUAAGCAGAAAAAACUAAUGCUAAUAGCAAUGGUAGAAGUCCAAUUAAUAUUUUAAGAAUGGGUAUGCAUUAUGCACUUACUUUGGUAUAUAAUUUCAAUCUGGCAGAAAUAUGAAGGUUAUAGUUAUUUCUUCUUAUUCUUGAUUCCACAGGCUUCAUUUGGGGAGUAACCAAUGACAUUUAUUGGAGAUUAAUUAGUUCACAGUAAACAUUAAUUACUUGAAAAAUAUUAUUUACAACUACAAAAUAUAGACAUACCUGAGCAAUGUUUAUCUUUCUUGGUCUGUUCCUAUAAUAUGUCUUUGCUAGCAAUCUCGAAGUAGUAAUGCGGAUAACCUUAUGCUGAUCUUUUCACCUUCAAAUUGUUAAAUGUAUAAAUAGAUUUGUCAUUUAUCUUCGAUUUCUACGUGUCCAUCAAACCUCCGAGAUGGUAGCAUGAAUUGUUUGGCCCUAUAAGAACAGUCAAAAUAUACUUAGUGAUUGUUGUUUUACUUUUAAAAUGAUGGAACAAUCUGAAAUUAGAUAUGUUAUGAAAUAACCUUUUAUCCAUCUAGAUCAUAUUGAGGCUCAUAAGCUCGUGUCGGUUAUACAUUCCAGUUUUGCUUCCUUGUUGUGACGUCACUAUGCUUCUUGUAUGACAAUGUUUUCUCUGCAAAAAAGUUAGAAAUUUGUUAGUCAAUUUAUAAUAUAUGUUCAAAGAUUGUAUCUAGAAUAAUAACUACACACCGUUAUGAUUCAGGUGAUAGGCAACUCGGAUGGAUGGCUGGGUGUGACUUCGUCGAGCAUUGAGUCGAACAUCAAGUUGCAUUUUUCAUCGAUUCUGAUCUUUUCCCAAAAUUGUGUUGCCCUCUAUAGAAACUUCUUUUAUUGAUGUGUGCCGAGUAGCAGAUUUGGCUGGCUUGAAUUUUGGGUGUGUGCUGGGCAUGGCCGAAAUUUGGCUGGCUUGAAGUUUUGGAUGCGUGCUGGGUAUGGCUGGCUGGGUGCCUUUAUAUUUGUGCCUGUCUUGGCCGACUACGUGUAAACUUCAGGUUGAGUCUGUAUGGAAUUAUGUAUGCAGUCUGGUAUUGGUGCACGUGAGUUUCCAUAUGGGCUAUUUGCCUGAUUUGGAGAUUCAUGGGCAUGUUUUUUCUAAGGAAAGACUUGCCUACGUGAUCUUUUUUUUUACGUGUUCAAGUUGGACUUUGUUCAACGUGAUUGGCCGGAGGCUGUUUUUUUCUACGUGAUUUACGUGUUCAAGUUGGACUUUGUUCAACGUGAUUGGCCGGAGGCUGUUCGAAGGCUAUUUUUUUCUACGUGAUUGGCCGGAGGCUGAUUGAUUGGUUACGUCCAUGCCAAGUGCUAACACGAACGUGGGUUCAUCUUAGGCGUGUCUCUUUUUCGCGGGAGUACCUUAGAUGUGUCAGAUGUAAAAAGUUGUACAUGUUAUCGUUGUACGUAACUUUUACAUAUUUUUAAUCUCAGCCAUUGUUGUAUAAAUCAAUGGCUAAUAUAUUUUUAGCCUAUGUGGAUAAAUGUGGUGGCUUAAUUGUCUCUUGUUUUAAUUAUAUAAUAGAUAGAUAGAUUGUUGUUAGCUUAUAUUGGAAAAUUAAAUACUUUUACGACAAUUCAAGAAGGUCUAUAUUAUUUGAAGUUCUCUACUGGCUCUGUUGAACUGAAGAGGACACACGUUAGGUGAAUGUCUCAAUGUAUUCAAAAUUUACAACAUGACAUGCAUGGUUCUAAUAGUGCUGACCAACACUUGUUAUCUAAUAGGUGUCCUUAUUGGUAGAUGUUAAGUAUGCUUUCUCUACCUCAGUAAAUGGAAUAGUCCUUAGAUUCACUGAAUAAGCUACUAAUCAAUAUAUAUAUUUUGGAUAUGAUUCAUUAGUUCAUAAAUAUUUAAGGAUAGAGUCCCAUACUUGUCACGAAGUUCCCAAGUUUCCGAUAUUCUAAAUUUGUAUAUGUUCUUGUGGGGCUGGUUGAGUUGAGGUAACAAUGAUCAAUCUAUUAGAUAUUAUUAGUAAAUAAAAGAAGAGCUUGUAAUGUUAUUGGACUUACCAUUGAACUUCUGCACUAUUGUGGAGGUUACAAUAAGGACAGUUUGGUUGUUGCUUACAUCCUAAUUUCCCCAUAAUGUCAAUAUGAUUUUAUUACCCCUAAAGAGUAUAAGCAGAAAAAACUAAUGCUAAUAGCAAUGGUAGAAGUCCAAUUAAUAUUUUAAGAAUGGGUAUGCAUGAUGCACUUACUUUGGUAUAUAAUUUCAAUCUGGCAGAAAUAUAAAGGUUAUAGUUAUUUCUUCUUAUUCUUGAUUCCACAGGCUUCAUUUGGGGAGUAACCAAUGACAUUUAUUGGAGAUUAAUUAGUUCACAGUAAAGAUUAAUUACUUGAAAAAUCUUAUUUACAACUACAAAAUAUAGACAUACCUGAGCAAUGUUUAUCUUUCUUGGUCUGGUCCUAUAAUAUGUCUUUGCUAGCAAUCUCGAAGUAGUAAUGCGGAUAACCUUAUGCUGAUCUUUUCACCUUCAAAUUGUUAAAUGCAUAAAUAGAUUUGUCAUUUAUCUUUGAUUUUGACGUGUCCAUCAAACCUCCGAGAUGGUAGCAUGAAUUGUUUGGCCCUAUAAGAACAGUCAUAAUAUACUUAGUGAUUGUUGUUUUACUUUUAAAAUGAUGGAACAAUCUGAAAUUAGAUAUGUUAUGAAAUAACCUUUUAUCCAUCUAGAUCAUAUUGAGGCUCAUAAGCUCGUGUCGGUUAUACAUUCCAAUUUUGCUUCCUUGUUGUGACGUCACUAUGCUUCUUGUAUGACAAUGUUUUCUCUGCAAAAAAGUUAGAAAUUUGUUAGUCAAUUAAUAAUAUAUGUUCAAAGAUUGUAUCUAGAAUAAUAACUACACACCGUUAUGAUUCAGUUGAUAGGCAACUCGGAUGGAUGGCUGGGUGUGACUUCGUCGAGCAUUGAGUCGAACAUCAAGUUGCAUUUUUCAUCGAUUCUGAUCUUUUCCCAAAAUUGUGUUGCCCUCUAUAGAAACUUCUUUUAUUGAUGUGUGCCGAGUAGCAGAUUUGGCUGGCUUGAAUUUUGGGUGUUUGCUGGGCAUGGCCUAAAUUUGGCUGGCUUGAAGUUUUGGAUGCGUGCUGGGUAUGGCUGGCUGGGUGCCUUUAUAUUUGUGCCUGUCUUGGCUGACUACGUGUAAACUUCAGGUUGAGUCUGUAUGGAAUUAUGUAUGCAGUCUGGUAUUGGUGCACGUGAGUUUCCAUAUGGGCUAUUUGCCUGAUUUGGAGAUUCAUGGGCAUGUUUUUUCUAAGGAAAGACUUGCCUACGUGAUCUUUUUUUUUA